GUUAAAAAAAAAAAAGUUUCCGUGUCUAACUUUGACUAUCCGUCUUAUAUAAAAUUUUUUAUAAUUUAUAUUUUCAUUGUUGUUAGAUGAUAAAACAUGAUUAAUAUUUUAUGCGUGACUUAUCUUUUUUAUUUUUUUAAUAUUUUUUUAAAUAAGGCGGACGGUUAAACGUUGGACACGAAAAUCAGAGUUUGUCUUUUU
rfam:Oryza glaberrima chromosome 6 Oglab06_unplaced181_3, whole genome shotgun sequence.